rnacentral:lncRNA from 1 species
GUAUAGUGGCAACGACCUUGCAUACUUCAUCACGGAUCCUUAACUGGUUCAUGUCUUCAACAUGGGUGACAUAUCACUCUCCAAUAGAUAGCAUUUUAAUUUGUAGUCCCAAGUGUAUGUGAUGGGAAAAAAAAAAGAAAAUGACCACAAAUAAGUUUGUGCAGACCUGAUCAGAACUAAAACAAAACUUCCCUAAGCCCUAACAGUUAAAUGGCAGAAAAAGACCAAGAUAUGGCCUUUUGCCUAAAUUAUUUAACAAACAAAAUUUUGGUCAGCAUAUGUCAGUACAUGACCUAGAAUAUCCACAGAUUAUUGCAAUACUACUAAU